rfam:Cavia porcellus supercont2_10 genomic scaffold, whole genome shotgun sequence.
AUAUUUGAAGUAUGCUUGCUUUGGCAUUGGAAUGAUACAGAAAAGAUUAGCAUGGCCCUUGUGCAAGGAUGACAUGCACAUUCGUAAAGCAUCCCAUAUUUUU